UGUCAUUUAUUGGAGUGUCAUAUUGAGUCCUGGAAGUAACUAACUGUACAAGAAAGAAAAAUAUCAGGGAUAAGAGUAGACGGAUUAACGGUUUAUAGGCGCAUCAGAUCGAAACUGCUUUCGGGGGCUGGUCUUGAUUCCUCCUCCUGUUGAACUAUGAAUGAGACCAAGCCAAAUUUGUUGUUCAGUUUGGCGGACGGUUUCAUUAAUUUUUUUAAUAAAAAGAGAAGUUUAAUAAGUUAUUGUAAUCGUCAGAUUGUUUCAACCUGAAUCUAAUUAGAAUUUAAUUGUUUGAUUGAUUCAACCCAAAUUAAAUUA
rnacentral:misc_RNA from 1 species